ACCACAAGCAUCCCCAACCUUUGGCCGGCCAGAUGUUUUGGACUACAAUUCCCAUCAUCCCUGACCACUGAUCAUGGGAGUUGUAGGCCAAAACAUCUGGAGGGCCGCAGGUUGGGGAUGCUUGCUUU